rnacentral:rRNA from 1 species
UUUUUUCUUCGGGACAGGAGAGACAGGUGGUGCAUGGUUGUCGUCAGCUCGUGUCGUGAGAUGUUGGGUUAAGUCCCGCAACGAGCGCAACCCUUAUCUUCAGUAGCCAGCAGGUAAAGCUGGGCACUCUGGAGAGACUGCCGGGGAUAACCCGGAGGAAGGUGGGGAUGACGUCAAAUCAUCAUGCCCCUUAUGGCUUGGGCUACACACGUGCUACAAUGGCGUAAACAAAGGGAAGCGACCCUGCGAAGGGAAGCAAACCCCAAAAAAACCUCCCAGUUCGGAUUGUAGUCUGCAACCCGACUACAUGAAGCUGGAAUCGCUAGUAAUCGCGAAUCAAAAUGUCGCGGUGAAUACGUUCCCGGGUCUGGA